rnacentral:rRNA from 1 species
GAUGUACGCUGGCGGCGUGCCUAAUACAUGCAAGUCGAGCGAACGGACGAGAAGCUUGCUUCUCUGAUGUUAGCGGCGGACGGGUGAGUAACACGUGGAUAACCUACCUAUAAGACUGGGAUAACUUCGGGAAACCGGAGCUAAUACCGGAUAAUAUUUUGAACCGCAUGGUUCAAAAGUGAAAGACGGUCCUGCUGUCACUUAUAGAUGGAUCCGCGCUGCAUUAGCUAGUUGGUAAGGUAACGGCUUACCAAGGCAACGAUGCAUAGCCGACCUGAGAGGGUGAUCGGCCACACUGGAACUGAGACACGGUCCAGACUCCUACGGGAGGCAGCAGUAGGGAAUCUUCCGCAAUGGGCGAAAGCCUGACGGAGCAACGCCGCGUGAGUGAUGAAGGUCUUCGGAUCGUAAAACUCUGUUAUUAGGGAAGAACAUAUGUGUAAGUAACUGUGCACAUCUUGACGGUACCUAAUCAGAAAGCCACGGCUAACUACGUG